CACGUAGGGGCCGAGCGUUGUCCGGAGUUACUGGGCGUAAAGCGCGCGCAGGCGGCCCAGUGGGCCUGGCGUGAAAGGGUGCCGCUCAACGGUGCCAGGGCGUCGGGGACCGCUGGGCUUGAGGGCGGGAGGGGCUGGUGGAAUCCCUGGUGUAGUGGUGAAAUGCGUAGAGAUCAGGGGGAACACCCGUGGCGAAGGCGGCCAGCUGGGCCGACCCUGACGCUGAGGCGCGAAGGCGUGGGGAGCGAACGGG
rnacentral:rRNA from 1 species